rnacentral:rRNA from 1 species
CCUACGGGAGGCAGCAGUGAGGAAUAUUGGUCAAUGGCCGAGAGGCUGAACCAGCCAAGUAGCGUGCAGGACGACGGCCCUAUGGGUUGUAAACUGCUUUUAUCGGGUAAUAAAGUAUCCUACGUGUAGGGUUUUGUAGGUACCCGAUGAAUAAGGACCGGCUAAUUCCGUGCCAGCAGCCGCGGUAAU